rnacentral:misc_RNA from 1 species
GAAAUGCGAUAAGUAAUGUGAAUUGCAGAAUUCAGUGAAUCAUCGAAUCUUUGAACGCACAUUGCGCCCCUUGGUAUUCCGAGGGGCAUGCCUGUUCGAGCGUCAUUUCAAACCUCAAGCUUCUGCUUGGUAUUGAACGUCCGCCUGCCCCGCAGGCGGUGUUCGAAACUCGUGGGCGGUAGAAGUCCAGCGUCGUAGCGUAGUCAUAAUACACUUCCGCUUUGUCGCCUCUUCUGCUCGCCAGAGAACCACUUUUUUACAAGGUUUGACCUCGGAUCAGGUAGGAAUACACGCUGAACUUAA